rnacentral:misc_RNA from 1 species
GAUGAAGAACGUAGCAAAAUGCGAUAAGUAGUGUGAAUUGCAGAAUUCAGUGAAUCAUCGAAUCUUUGAACGCACAUUGCGCCUUCUAGUAUUCUGGGAGGCAUGCCUGUUUGAGCGUCAUUAAACCUCUCUCAAGUAUGAUUACUUGGAUGUGAAGGAAGAGUACCUUAAACUUAAGGAGUGUUCUCCUUUGAAAUUGAUUAGCAGAUGGUAAUGUUAUUAAAUCCCUGAUGUUGUAAGAAAUAACAGUGGUUUUGUAGACUAUUAUCUAGCUUUAAAUUAUAAUUUUUAUUAUGGUUGACCUCAAAUCAGGUAAGGAUACCCGCUGAACUUAAGCAUAUCAAUAAGCGGAGGA